rnacentral:rRNA from 1 species
CCAGACUCCUACGGGAGGCAGCAGUGGGGAAUAUUGCACAAUGGGCGGAAGCCUGAUGCAGCAACGCCGCGUGCGGGAUGACGGCCUUCGGGUUGUAAACCGCUUUCGCCUGUGACGAAGCGUGAGUGACGGUAAUGGGUAAAGAAGCACCGGCUAACUACGUGCCAGCAGCCGCGGUGAUACGUAGGGUGCGAGCGUUGUCCGGAUUUAUUGGGCGUAAAGGGCUCGUAGGUGGUUGAUCGCGUCGGAAGUGUAAUCUUGGGGCUUAACCCUGAGCGUGCUUUCGAUACGGGUUGACUUGAGGAAGGUAGGGGAGAAUGGAAUUCCUGGUGGAGCGGUGGAAUGCGCAGAUAUCAGGAGGAACACCAGUGGCGAAGGCGGUUCUCUGGGCCUUUCCUGACGCUGAGGAGCGAAAGCGUGGGGAGCGAACAGGCUUAGAUACCCUGGUAGUCCACGCUGUAAACGGUGGGUACUAGGUGUGGGGUCCAUUCCACGGGUUCCGUGCCGUAGCUAACGCUUUAAGUACCCCGCCUGGGGAGUACGGCCGCAAGGCUAAAACUCAU